UACGUAGGGUGCAAGCGUUGUCCGGAAUUAUUGGGCGUAAAGAGCUCGUAGGCGGUUUGUCGCGUCUGCUGUGAAAACGCGAGGCUCAACCUCGCGCCUGCAGUGGGUACGGGCAGACUGGAGUGCGGUAGGGGAGAUUGGAAUUCCUGGUGUAGCGGUGGAAUGCGCAGAUAUCAGGAGGAACACCGAUGGCGAAGGCAGAUCUCUGGGCCGUAACUGACGCUGAGGAGCGAAAGGCGUGGGGAGCGAACAGG
rnacentral:rRNA from 1 species